ACGGGAGGCAGCAGUAGGGAAUCUUCCGCAAUGGACGAAAGUCUGACGGAGCAACGCCGCGUGAGUGAUGAAGGUUUUCGGAUCGUAAAGCUCUGUUGUUAGGGAAGAACAAGUACCGUUGAAUAGGGCGGUACCUUGACGGUACCUAACCAGAAAGCCACGGCUAACUACGUGCCAGCAGCCGCGGUAAUACGUAGGUGGCAAGCGUUGUCCGGAAUUAUUGGGCGUAAAGGGCUCGCAGGCGGUUUCUUAAGUCUGAUGUGAAAGCCCCCGGCUCAACCGGGGAGGGUCAUUGGAAACUGGGGAACUUGAGUGCAGAAGAGGAGAGUGGAAUUCCACGUGUAGCGGUGAAAUGCGUAGAGAUGUGGAGGAACACCAGUGGCGAAGGCGACUCUCUGGUCUGUAACUGACGCUGAGGAGCGAAAGCGUGGGGAGCGAACAGGAUUAGAUACCCUGGUAGUCCACGCCGUAAACGAUGAGUGCUAAGUGUUAGGGGGUUUCCGCCCCUUAGUGCUGCAGCUAACGCAUAAGCACUCCGCCUGGGGAGUACGGUCGCAAGACUGAAACUCAAAGGAAUUGACGGGGGCCCGCACAAGCGGGGAGCAGUGGUUUAAUUCGAAGCAACGCGAAGAACCUUACCAGGUCUUGACUCCUCUGACAAUCCUAGAGAUAGGACGUCCCCUUCGGGGGCAGAGUGACAGGUGGUGCAUGGUUGUCGUAGCUCGUGUCGUGAGAUGUGGGUUAAGUCCCGCAACGAGCGCAACCCUUGAUCUUAGUUGCCAGCAUUCAGUUGGGACUCUAAGGUGACUGCCGGUGACAAACCGGAGGAAGGUGGGGAUGACGCAAACAUCUGCCCCUUAGACCUGGGCUACACACGUGCUACAAUGGACAGAACAAGGGCAGCGAACCGCGAGGUUAAGCCAAUCCCACAAAUCUGUUCUCAGUUCGGAUCGCAGUCUGCAACUC
rnacentral:rRNA from 1 species